rnacentral:rRNA from 1 species
GACGAACCGUGCGAACGUUGUUCGGAAUCACUGGGCUUAAAGGGCGCGUAGGCGGGUUUCCCAGUCCGUGGUGAAAUCCCCCAGCUCAACUGGGGAAUUGCCGUGGAUACUGGAAGUCUUGAGGGGGGUAGGGGCACGCGGAACGCCGGGUGGAGCGGUGAAAUGCGUUGAUAUCCGGCGGAACUCCGGUGGCGAAAGCGGCGUGCGUGGGCCCUCUCUGACGCUGAGGCGCGAAAGCC